GACGAACGCUGGCGGCGUGCUUAACACAUGCAAGUCGAACGGAGCUGUUUAUUUCGGUAGAUAGCUUAGUGGCAAACGGGUGAGUAACGCGUAGGCAACCUGCCCUUAGGAUGGGGACAACGGCCCGAAAGGACCGCUAAUACCGAAUGGACUCUAACUUUCGCAUGAAAGAAAGAGGAAAGAUGGUGCGAGCCAUCGCCGAAGGAAGGGCCUGCGUCUGAUUAGCCAGUUGGUGAGGUAACGGCCCACCAAAGCGACGAUCAGUAGCCGGUCUGAGAGGAUGAACGGCCACAAUGGGACUGAGACACGGCCCAUACUCCUACGGGAGGCAGCAGUGGGGAAUCUUCCGCAAUGGGCGCAAGCCUGACGGAGCAACGCCGCGUGAGUGAAGAAGGUCUUCGGAUCGUAAAGCUCUGUUGUUGGGGACGAAAGGGUAGACGAGGCAAUGCGUCUACUAAGACGGUACCC
rnacentral:rRNA from 1 species